rnacentral:rRNA from 1 species
CCUACGGGUGGCUGCAGUGAGGAAUAUUGGUCAAUGGACGAGAGUCUGAACCAGCCAAGUAGCGUGAAGGAUGACUGCCCUAUGGGUUGUAAACUUCUUUUAUAUGGGAAUAAAACGUUCCACGUGUGGGAUUUUGUAUGUACCAUAUGAAUAAGGAUCGGCUAACUCCGUGCCAGCAGCCGCGGUAAUACGGAGGAUCCGAGCGUUAUCCGGAUUUAUUGGGUUUAACGGGAGCGUAGGUGGAUUGUUAAGUCAGUUGUGAAAGUUUGCGGCUCAACCGUAAAAUUGCAGUUGAAACUGGCAGUCUUGAGGACAGUAGAGGUGGGCGGAAUUCGUGGUGUAGCGGUGAAAUGCUUAGAUAUCACGAAGAACUCCGAUUGCGAAGGCAGUUCACUGGACUGCAACUGACACUGAGGCUCGAAAGUGUGGGUAUCAAACAGGAUUAGAUACCCCAGUAGUC